UACGUAGGGGGCGAGCGUUGUCCGGAAUGACUGGGCGUAAAGGGCGUGUAGGCGGAUAAAUAAGUCUGAUGUGAAAGUCCCGUUUUCAAGGUGGGAAUUGCAUUGGAAACUGUAUAUCUAGAGUGCGGAAGAGGUAAGUGGAAUUCCCAGUGUAGCGGUGAAAUGCGUAGAGAUUGGGAGGAACACCAGUGGCGAAGGCGACUUACUGGGCCGCAACUGACGCUGAGGCGCGAAAGCGUGGGGAG
rnacentral:rRNA from 1 species